rnacentral:tRNA from 1 species
GAGUAAUUAAUUCAACAGGUAGAAUAUUUCAUUUACAUUGAAAAAGUUAUUGGUUCGAGUCCAUUAUUACUUA